rnacentral:sRNA from 1 species
AGGCCUGCCUUCAAAAUUCCCCUUGAUUGAGUCUUUGGUGGAUCUUACAAGUGAGUUGCAGAGUCUCUCAGUACAUCACCUGGAUGGAGGUAGAGGGGCAGAGGGCCACGAUGGGCAGGAUUGGGCCUCUGGGAGAACAGAAGGGCCAAGGCAAAGCAGAAAGGAGCAGGGAGGUCCUCGAUGGGGGAGCCAUCUGGAAGAUGUCAACUUGCAGGCCCUGAAGUCUGCCCUGGGCUGAGUUCCUGGGUCUCCUCCUGGAGAGAUCAGCCAAAAGACACCUCUGUUCCCCCAAGCACUCUUAUCUCUGCUUUCUGCCUUCUCUCUGGUCUUGGAAUUUUCAGUUCAAUUGGGAUCUUACAGGAAAACAAUUUCAGGCCAAUUCCUGACUUCCCACCCUAGAAGGGAAUGUUGGAGCCCUUGGCCUGUAGUUCCCUCUCCCUCCUCCUUGGGAGCUAGGCCCCGGGGGAAAUGGUGGGAAGUUCCAUAUUUGGAUGGCCCAGAGUGCUGGAAUGAGAUGGAGAUCUCCAGGGCAGGACAAGAGGGUCCUUAUUUAGUCUGAAGUCUCCAACCUGGGGCUUAGGGUGAGAGAGGAGCUGGCAGAGGGAUGGACACUUUAAAGGCAAGAGGAUGGCAGUUGCAAGGAAAGGAGCUGAGAGCUUCUCUGAGGGUGGUAAGAGGCGUGGCUUCUCCAGUGGUAUCCCUCGGUUUCUAUGUUCAGGACAUGUUUGAGGAUGCGUCCAACUGAGAUGCUGAACUCCAAUAUUUAAGGAAUAUGAUCAAACCGAAUUAGGAUUACAGGACAAGUAAAGAAAUAGAAUGCAGUUGAAUCUCUUGAGAGGAGUAUGUGAAAGUUAGAAGCAAUGAGCUCUUGAAGCCAGGGCCUGUCCCUCCCACUUCCUUGUCUCCUGAUGGUACUAACUUUAUAUAAUACUAAUCAGAGUAGCCAACAUUUAUUAUGCACUUGUUGUAUGCAGGGUAUUGUGCCAAGUACUUCACAUGUCAGAUCUCAUUUGAUUCUCACCACCAGCUUUUGGGGCAGACAUUAUUAUGUUCAUUUACAAAUGAGGACACAGAGGCUGGAAAGGCAAAAUAACUUGCAAAUGGCUGGAAAGGGAGAGAGCUGGGAUUUGAUUCUGGGCAGUCUGACUCUUCAUGACCCCAGGCUCUAAACUGCUUUAACUUUAUUUUUAUUUUUAAAAGUUUUAUUUAUGUAUUUAUUUUUAAAUAAAUAGAGACAGGGUUUUGCCAUCUUCCCCAGGCUGAUCUCAAACUCCUGGGCUCAAGUAAUCCUCCAGCCUUGGGCUGCCACUGCUGGAACUACAGGCAUGAGCCACUGUGCCCAGCCCAAACUGUUUUAUUCUGGAUAGCUGGGCAUAGCUCCCCUCUGAGAUUAACAGGACGAAAUAUGAGGCCCACAGCCUUUCCAGCUCAGACCAUUGCAAUCCCUAGUUCCUCCCAUUCCACUCUCUCUUACCCCAGGAGUCAGGAAGUUCUUCUCAGUGUCUGACCCUCACUUCUUCCUGUGGUAAAGUGAUUUCUGAGAUUAGAAACUUCAAAUCCUCUUGUGAUUAGCAUGAGCUGCAUCGCAUUUCAAAGCCCACCAUGGUGGACACUUAAUAAAUGUUAAACAUUUCUUACGGGGUAUCACAUCACCUGCAUCUCCUCCCAUUGGCUCCCUGCCAGCAUGCACAGAUAGUUUCUUCUGGAUUCCACUGUUGAAGGCAGGAAAACUCUGCCCUUCUUCUUUUCUUUUUUCUCCUCCCCCAUUGGGACAUAUGGUCUCUGUUGAGGGCAGAGUGAGGAACCUCAACAGGCAUCCUGUGGCUUGGGGUCAGCCUAGGCUGUUGCCUCUGAACCCUGUGUUGCACUGCAGCCUGAGGAAGUUUGGUGGUGCAGAGGACCAAAGGAGACACACAUGGAUUCCUGGAAGAGGAAUUAGUGUUGGCCAGCAUUUCUAGAGUCGGACAUGCAGAUCCCAUCCCUCUGUCCUCCCACCCAUUGGCCAUCCCGCCUGCCUCCAUUUCUAGACAGUUCCUGAAAGAUCAGGAUAUUAUGUAUGCAAACAGCCCAGAGAGCUUCAGCUGUAGGAAGCUUGCAAUGAGCAAGCAGCUCACCCCCGCUUCAACUUACCGCAUCUGCUUCUCCUCCACAGUGGUCUGCAAGAAGAAUCUGGACAGUACCACUGUGGCUGUGCAUGGUGAGGAGAUCUACUGCAAGUCCUGCUACGGCAAGAAGUAUGGGCCCAAAGGCUAUGGCUACGGGCAGGGCGCAGGCACCCUCAGCACUGACAAGGGGGAGUCGCUGGGUAUCAAGCACGAGGAGUGAGUAAAAGAUCCCCUCCCAACCUUUUUCUUGAGCUCUCUCCCCCACCCUGUAUUAGGCCUCAUGUGUAUUUACAACCAUUUUUGGGUAAGCAAUGGAAGGCUCAGAAAACCACUUAUUUAAAAGGCAGUCAUAGAGCAGUGCCUAUGUGUCAGGCUGCUGCAGGAGCUGGGGACUCAGCAGGGACUAAAACAGGCUGGGCUUCUCCCUGCAAGGAGCAUGCAUUCUAUAUUUGUAUAAGGGUCAGAGCUGGGAGGGGACCCAAUAAUUACUUAGUCCAAUUUCCUCUUUUCUUGUUUUUUUUGAAAGGGAGUCUUGCCCUGUCGCCCAGGCUGGAGUGCAAUGGUGCAAUCUUGGCUCACUGCAGCCUCUGCUUCUUGGGCUCAAGUGAUCCUCUUGCCUCAGCCUCCCAAGUAGCUGGGAGUACAGGCAUGUGCCACCACACCCAGCUAAUUCUGUAUUUUGUAGAGAUGGGGUUUCACCAUGUUGCCUCCUCUUUUUAUAGAUGAGAAAAUCCAGCCCAGGCUCAGUGACUUGCCUGGGGUCCCACAGCUAGUGGGUGUCGGAGCCAGACCAGCAGCUCAGGGCAGCACCGUUGCCACACCAGCCUCACUCUCAGCCCUGCUAUCUCUCACUACGAGGAGAAGUCAUUUCCCUUUCUUGGAAAUGCCACAGGGUGUCAUCAGCCCCACCCCAGCCCCCUCACCCCACGGCACUCCCUGGCCUCUGGGUAAACGGUGGCUGUUGGCAGUCAGCCUGGCUUGCUCCUCGGCCUGGGGAGGUGGACGGAAAUGAUGGAUGAAUUACCAAGUUUCAGCCAAGGUCAUUGCCCCAGUGGGAAUGAUUCAUCAGCAGAUUUCUCCUGUAAAGAAUCUGAUACUAGACCAGCUGCAGGAAUGAGGGGCAGAGGAGGGCGAUUCUUAGCAAAUGGGGUGUUAAAUGAUUCUGGGGUUAACUGGGUGACCGAGGGAAGUAUGAUGUUACGAUGGAAAUAACAUUGUGCUGUGGCUUGGUUUGUCCAUCUGUAAAAUGGGAGAUGACCCUAGAGGCCCUAGCCUUUGUGACUUUGGCAGAGAGAACUGCACGCUGCUCUGGCAUGAGAUGAAGGUAGGGUCAUGCCCUCUCAGUGCCAGUCCCACCUGUACUUACAGUGUAAGUCACCUCACCCCAUGCCCUUCUCCAUGCAGAGCCCCUGGCCACAGGCCCACCACCAACCCCAAUGCAUCCAAAUUUGCCCAGAAGAUUGGUGGCUCCGAGCGCUGCCCCCGAUGCAGCCAGGCAGUCUAUGCUGCGGAGAAGGUGAUUGGUGCUGGGAAGGUAAGGCGGCUGCUGGGCAUGAGAGGGAUAGGGGGAGAUAUCUUCCUGAAAUGUGGAUUCCAGAACUUUUAAAUUGGUGACCUAGCUCUGGUCAGGGCAGCCUGAGCACUGGGGUUUAACCUCUUCUCUUUGUCCCUGCGGGUUGCAUGUACCUGUGCUUUCCAGUCUCCAAGGAGCUCAUAUCAGCCAUGAGCAGUAACAUCCCCAGCAUUGAUGGACAAUGGGCAAUUCAUAGGGAGUGGCAAUGAUCAAUCUGUAUCUCUAAUAUAGGAGGACAGAAAGUAAGAGUACAUGGAUGGGCUGCAGAGGGUCCACAAAGCCCUGAAGAUUAUGUGCAAAGUUUCAUGGGAACCUGUCUGUUUCUUAGAAGAAGAUCCAUAGCUUUUAUUAGAUUUUCAAAGGAUUUGUGAUCCCAAAAAUAUACAUUCUGUUUCAUGGGAAGUGGACUCCCAAAAACCCAUCCAAAUACCCCCAGGGCAGAGAUUUUCAAGGUUCAGACCUAUCAGAGCCUCCUAGGAGGCUUUUUUCACACUUUUUAGAAUUGCCACACAUACCCUUCCCCCAUGAUAUUCUGACAGUAGCCCCCAAUCACCAAUGCACAAUGAGAAUCACCAUAGCAAACCAACAGUUCCCAAUUGAGCUGAUCACUUCCUUCAGAUAGGCUACAGUAGAGAAGAGGCAGAACUCUUGCCCCUGGGAUUUGCCGUGUCAGAUUAGCAGUCAGAAACUCACAGAAGAGAUGUCUUUCAGCUAUGAGGCCAGAGAGGAUUUCUGGAGCAUCACGUGAGGCCUGAGAUAGAAAAGUGACUUGGCCAAGAUCACACAACAAGGUUAUGGAAUGCCUGGGCCUAGAGCCCAUCUUCAGCUCUUCUGGAUUCAGGUUUUGGCUUUCAAGGCUUUUUGACCUUGAGGAAUGGGAUAGGGGAAUGGAUCAAGAAAUGUUGAGCAACUAACACUUAGGCCAAGGUUAGACUCUCUACUCUCACAGUCAUGGUCAGACAGAGAUGGGGAUUAGUAUCCCUGUUGUAUAGAUGAAGAAACUGGGAGUCAGAAGGAUUACAUAAUUUGCCCGGAUCUGCUAGCUAGGAAGGGGCUAAGCCAGAUUCAAGCCCAGGUUUGUCUGACUCUGAAGCCCUUGCUCUUACUGCUGUUACUACUGUUAAUGCUACUUUGGGCCAUUUAGCCUCUUCGAACACAUUUCCAAGGCUGCAAAAUAGGAAGGGAUUGUUAAUCCUAGCACGGUGAUUAAGAGCUUGGACUGUAGACAGCCUGCUUUGAAUCCUAGUUUUGCCAUUUAUUGGCUGAGUGACCUUGGGAAAAUUUAGCCUUCCUAAGCCUCAGUUCUGAAGCUCUGAAGUGGGCCUGGAUGGUGGACGAAAUGCAAAGUGGACAAAGUAAUGGUCCCUGACAAAUCAGGCAGUUUUUUUGUUUGUUUGUUUUGGUUUUGGUUUUGGGUUUUGGGUUUUUUGGCGGAAUUUCACUUUUGUCGCCUAGGCUGGAGUACAGUGGCGCAAUCUUAGCUCACUACAACCUCUGCCUCCCGGGUUCAAGUGAUUCUCCUGCCUCAGCCUCCCGAGUAGCUGGGACUACAGGCACGCGCCACCACACCCAGCUAAUUUUUGUAUUUUUAGUAGAGAUGGGGUUUCACCAUGGUGGCCAGGCUGGUCUUGAACCAGCCUGGACCUCACAAUCCACCCACCUCGGCCUCCCAAAGUGCUGGGAUUACAGGUGUAAGCCACCACACCCAACAACAAGGCAGUUUUAAUGAUUAAAUGAGAUAAUACAUGUGUAACAUGCAAUGUAGUGCCUGAUAUGUCCUCAGUACAGUUUUGCUAUUGUUAUUAUUGUUGUUGUUUAUUUUCAGGAAUUGUUAUGAGGUCACAGUGAAGAUCCUUGCCAUUGACUAAAGGAUAUUAAAACAGGAGACAUUAAUAUUAUUAUUAAGUUGGGUUUUUUGUUCUAUCUCAUUAUGAGAAUAGAAAAUUAUUAAGAAUAGCUAAGAAUCACUAUUUCCAUUACUUAGGCAGGCUAUAAGGUAAAGUUAGGGCUGUACUAAGGAGUAGGAUAAGAGAAUUUUGCAUUCAAGUGGAAAAGGUAGGGAGAAGCCCCACCUUACUAUUGCCUCGCUCAAGAAAUGUUGAGCUGGGAGUACUUUUGGGUGCUUAUGAAUGAGCAAAGGGAUUCAGCUUAUUUUGGCAGGGAGGUGGCUAGGAAAUAUGAGGAGAGGUGUUGGUCUAGGUGUGAUUCAGUUUUUCUCCAGCCUAGAGAGCUUGGGGUAGCAGCCCCUGUUUUAUAGAGGAGGCAGCAAAGGCUGAGUGACUAUUGAGGUUGCACCAGCACUGACCUAGACCCAGGUCCCCCCAUUUCAGCUCUUUGGAGGAGAAGCCAAUGUGCAAGGUUAGGCAACCAGGAAAUCUGAGGGGAUGAAUUUCCUUUCUCAUCCGCCAGCCUGGGCACUGGGAGUGUCUUUGCCCUUAAAAGGCCUUGUUUUUUCUUAUCUGACUGCUGCCUGCCUCUUGCUUUUCCUGGGUUAAGCAGAGCUGUCUACACAUCAGCCUGUUAGCCUGCCCAGCUGUUGAUGGGAGCUGGCUGCGGAGAAGUCUGUCUGUGCAACGUCCCAUCACUGUGUACAAACUCGGGCCUCACUUUUUUUCUGGGAGAGCUGUUUGCCCUGUGUUACAGAAUGGAUAUGAGGACUAGAUAUUUAAACAUAUGAUACAUGACCACAGAGAAGGUAUUUGUAAUUGGAUUCUCCUGGACCAGCCCAGCCUCUGAAGUUCUAGAAUUAGGUGCCUCCUUUGCCCGAAGGCUAUCAGCUAUUGGAGGGGAGGGUGGCAGUAUGUCCCUCACUGGGUAGCUGUGAACAUUAACUGACUUCACCAGUGUAAAGUGCCUGGCACAGGGCCUGGCACAGAGGAAGCCAGAGUCAAUGUUGUCUAGUAUCACUUUGGAAGCAGAAUAAGUCUAUGAAAUGCAUUAAACUCAGCAGGGAAAGUCCUAAGGAGUAUAGUUUCUCCAGGGGCCACAGAAGACCCUUUGUGUCUCUAUGAGAGGCCCCAAGGCAACACAGGGCAGAGAGAUCUUCCCGGUGAGGUCUGUUCAAGUACUAAGUGACAGUACCAGGAGGAGCGCAAAGCCCUGGCUCACACCACUGAUCUACUGGCAAGAUGGGUCUGGAUAAGGCUCAUCUGGCCCAGCCAGUGGGGAAACAGCUACCUUGGUGUUAAACCCACCCGCUCGCCUGCCUUUUGUGGUAUAGCUGGUGACCCUAAUCAUCAGGCCAUUGCAACAUAGCAUGGAAGAUGGUGCGAGGUGGCGUGUGGUCCCUGGCCUUCUCCCUCUACUGCCUUGCACCAUGGGCCAUGUCCUCCCAGCAGCACGAGCUGAGCAGACUUCAGAGGUGGCUUGAGCCCUUAUACCAUGGUUAUGUCAAAGGGAGUGGGCCUGGGGUGGAAGGUACCCUCAUUCACUGGUGGCAGCCAUUAACUGUUUCCUUCCCUGCCUAGUCCUGGCAUAAGGCCUGCUUUCGAUGUGCCAAGUGUGGCAAAGGCCUUGAGUCAACCACCCUGGCAGACAAGGAUGGCGAGAUUUACUGCAAAGGAUGCUAUGCUAAAAACUUCGGGCCCAAGGGCUUUGGUUUUGGGCAAGGAGCUGGGGCCUUGGUCCACUCUGAGUGAGGCCACCAUCACCCACCACACCCUGCCCACUCCUGCGCUUUUCAUCGCCUUUCCCUUCCCAGCAGCUUUGGAGACCUCCAGGAUUAUUUCUCUCUCAGCCCUGCCACAUAUCUCUAAUGACUUGAACUUGGGCAUCUGGCUCCCUUUGGUUUGGGGGUCUGCCUGAGGUCCCACCCCACUAAAGGGCUCCCCAGGCCUGGGAUCUGACACCAUCACCAGUAGGAGACCUCAGUGUUUUGGGUCUAGGUGAGAGCAGGCCCCUCUCCCCACACCUCGCCCCACAGAGCUCUGUUCUUAGCCUCCUGAGCUGCAUGUCCAUCAUCAGCUGGCCAAGACAGCUGAGGACACAUCUUGGCACCCAGAGGAGCAGCAGCAACAGGCUGGAGGGAGAGGGAAGCAAGACCAAGAUAAGGAGGGGGGAAGUCUGGGUUUUUUGGAUCUCAGAGAUUCUCCUCUGUGGGAAAGAGGAUGGGCUUCCUGGUGUCCCUCAGAGUAAGCCUGAGGAGUCCCAGCUUAGGGAGUCACUAUUGGAGGCAGAGAGGCACGCAGGCGGGGUCCUAGGAGCCCCUGCUUCUCCAGGCCUCUUGCCUUUGAGUCUUUGUGGAAUGGAUAGCCUCCCACUAGGACUGGGAGGAGAAUAACCCAGGUCUAAGGACCCCAAAGUCAGGAUGUUGUUUGAUCUUCUCAGACAUCUAGUUCCCUGCUUGAUGGGGGGAUCCUAAUGAAAUACCUGAAACAUAUAUUGGCAUUUAUCAAUGGCUCAAAUCUUCAUUUAUGUCUGGCCUUAACCCUGGGACCUGAGGCUAUGGCCAGCAGAGCCCAGGCCAGGGCUCUGUUCUUGCCACACCUGCUUGAUCCUCAGAUGUGGAGGGAGGUAGGCACAGCCUCAGUCUUCAUCCAAACACCUUUCCCUUUGCCCUGAGACCUCAGAAUCUUCCCUUUAACCCAAGACCCUGCCUCUUCCACUCCACCCUUCUCCAGGGACCCUUAGAUCACAUCACUCCACCCCUGCCAGGCCCCAGGUUAGGAAUAGUGGUGGGAGGAAGGGGAAAGGGCUGGGCCUCACUGCUCCCAGCAACUGAAAGGACAAUACUAUCUGGAGCCACCCACUGAAAGGGCUGCAGGCAUGGGCUGUACCCAAGCCGAUUUCUCAUCUGGUCAAUAAAGCUGUUUAGACCAG